rnacentral:sRNA from 2 species
GUGAAGGAUAACGUUGCGUCAGCAACGGCCCGUAGGGCGAGGCGAAGCCGAGUCAUCCUGCACGACCCACCG